GAUCAACGCUGGCGGCGUGCAUGAGACAUGCAAGUCGAACGGAUGACUCGGGCUUGCUCGAGUCGUUAGUGGCGGACGGCUGAGUAACGCGUGGGUGACCUGCCCCGAAGUGGGGAAUAACUGCCCGAAAGGGUGGCUAAUACCGCAUGUGGUGGUGCGUUCAAUUGCACCAGUAAAGCCGCAAGGCGCUUCGGGAGGGGCCUGCGUCCGAUUAGCUCGUUGGUGGGGAACGGCUCACCAAGGCGACGAUCGGUAGGUGGUCUGAGAGGACGAUCACCCAGACUGGGACUGAGACACGGCCCAGACUCCUACGGGAGGCAGCAGUCGGGAAUUUUGCUCAAUGGGGGAAACCCUGAAGCAGCAACGCCGCGUGAGGGAUGAAGGCCUCGG
rnacentral:rRNA from 1 species